CCUGCCAGGCUGAGGCUCUGCUGUGCCACAUGUGUGUCAUUAGGUGCACAGAGAGGAGAGUGGCUAUGUCUACUGUCAGUGUCCUGACCUAUGAACAUCUGAAUGAUUAACAGUAUAACACU
ensembl:snoRNA LOC120097263 small nucleolar RNA SNORA17